rfam:Myotis brandtii contig239910, whole genome shotgun sequence.
GGUGGUUAUCAGGUAACACACCCUGGAAUUGGGCACCCUUUUCUCUGGUUCCAGGUGCGUCACCUGAGAACUGCA